GAUGAACGCUGGCGGCGUGCUUAACACAUGCAAGUCGAACGGAAAGGCCCAAGCUUGCUUGGGUACUCGAGUGGCGAACGGGUGAGUAACACGUGGGUGAUCUGCCCUGCACUUCGGGAUAAGCCUGGGAAACUGGGUCUAAUACCGGAUAGGACCACUUCUUGGAUGUUGUGGUGGAAAGUUUUUUCGGUGUGGGAUGAGCUCGCGGCCUAUCAGCUUGUUGGUGGGGUAAUGGCCUACCAAGGCGUCGACGGGUAGCCGGCCUGAGAGGGUGUACGGCCACAUUGGGACUGGGAUACGGCCCAGACGCCUACGGGAGGCAGCAGUGGGGAAUAUUGCACAAUGGGCGCAAGCCUGAUGCAGCGACGCCGCGUGGGGGAUGACGGCCUUCGGGUUGUAAACUCCUUUCGCUAGGGACGAAGCGUUUUGUGACGGUACCUGGAGAAGAAGCACCGGCUAACUACGUG
rnacentral:rRNA from 1 species